GCCGUAGCUCAGUGGUAGAACACCUGCUUUGCAUGCAGAAGGUCCCAGGUUCAGUCCCCUGUUGCAUCUCCA